UUUUCCGUUCCUUUUUUUCUCUGUCUCUUUUCUUGCUUACGAUUUCCUCAGUGAAAUAAUGGGCCGCAAACCCUACACUAAAAAAUACUUCUCAAAAUUUCUCACCGCUUAAUUCUUCUCCAUCUCUCUCAAUUCUCAAAAUUCUCACCGCCAAUCUCUCUCCCUAAAGAAACCCUAAACCUCCACUCUCUCGUAUCAUCUCUCACUAAACCAUGUGAUGCGCUCUGAUUCAUUUCAUCCAUGCGCCUUCGAACAGUUAUCAGCUGCGAGAUUCGAUCGGAGGAUCAAACGCUGCCGCGCAAAGCUUCUCGAAGAGCAGAUUGUUUGAAUUGAGAGAAUGAGUAAUUGGAUCCUGUGAAGCCGAGACUCUGCCUACACAUUGUGUUAUAUGUAUUAAUUUCUUGAGAGUUUCCUUGAUCUCGGUGAAAGUAUGGAGCCACAUACGAAGUAAGUAUCUUCUUGGUCCUAAACCUAGAUUAUGCUAAUAUGAGUAUUUCUGUCAAUGCAGCAGGAAAUCGAAAAAUUAUGGGAGCUGGUAAAGGUCCGUAGUCAACAAGUUCAAGAGAGGAGGAGAAGAAGUGCAUAGAUUUAGGGAGUGUUAGGUUUGACAUCUAUGUUUAUGGAAGAAAAGGGAGUUUUUUUUUUCUAUUCUAGCUUCAUGGUUUGCAAGUUAUGAAACAGUGGUUUGACA